ACCCUCCCCCCGAAAAACCCAACCAAACCCAAACCAGCUGCAGCCAUGGGAUAGAACCGGGCGGGGCAGGAGGAGCGGUGGGGUGGCUGGGGCAGCCCAGAGGUGAAGCCCGGCGGCUGCAGAAGGGCCGGGCACCGGCAAGGGGCUGGAGCCGGGAGUCGUCCACAACAGGAGUGAAAAACCCGCCUACCCCGUCUCACCAGGCCCGGCAUUUACAAGUUUUUUCCUCAAGAGGUUUGCGGUUUCCAGCCUUUCCCACCCGGCCCCUCCGCGCAGCACCCGGGACCUUCUGAGCCCCCUCAGCCCCGCAGGCGGGAGGAGCCGGGGGGCCGUGCCCGGGGCAUCCCCGGGGCUGGUUUUUCCGAUGCUUGCGGCUGGAUUGCACUUUUCCCUCAGCUGUUUGAUUUUUUUUUUUUUGUGGUGGUUUUUUUUUUUUUUUUUUUUUUUUUUUUUUUGUUUAAUUCUGCUCCCCCCGCGGCGCGGCUCCCCCCGCAGUGCUCCCGCCCCGCCAAUCCGGGCCCUGCGGGGCUGGGGGGCUCCGGCAGCGCCUUUAAAAGCGGAGCCCUUUGUGCGCCGGAGCCCCGCACCGGCAGCUGCCGGGGCCGGACCGGGAUGUGCCGUGCCGUGCCGUGCCGUGCCGUGCCGUGCCGUGCCGUGCCGUGCCGCCGCCGGGAGGAGCCCUGGACCUCACUGCACCGGCAGCCCCGGGACCCGCGCAUCCCCCUCGGCAGGAGGGACACGGGGAGUGACAGCUCUGAGUGACAGCCACCACCAAGCGCAGCAGUGUGGCCAGCUCGGCAGCGUGCCUCCUUCCUGCAGACCGAGCCACAGGUGAGUGGGAUGUCACCUACCUAACACAGAGGAGCAGAGCCAGGCCUCUGCUAUGGUGGGAGGGGACAAGCCUGGCCAGAGCCUGGCAUGGCAUGGGGAAAAAAAUUAGUCACAAUUAGUCACAGCAGCUGAAAGUCCCCAUUGCCACACACUCUGCCCCAGUGCCUGCUGGAAGUUCCCUGACAGCCAGAUUUCCUCUGGCACAAGCAAAGCACCGGGGGUAAAUGCCCUUGUGCCAGGAAGAUGGGAAUCCCAGCAGGAUGGGAUAUGAACAGCCCCCACGCUGUUACCUGCAGCAGAAAUGCCCUGUAAUGAUCCUGAAAGCACCUUUGGGGGACAGAGGCCAGGUGCCUGUGACACAGAUUGGCAAAACUGUUGCUCCAGUGGGACACAGUAACUGGUUUUGCUCCUCCAGUAUGGUGCAAAGGCUGAUUCCCUCUGCCCUUUUCUGGGCCCUGGCUCCUGCUGCUGCCAUUUGUCCCUGUGCCCUCCUUCCCAGCUGCCUUCCCGUGCUGCAGGGAGGCAGAGCACAGCUGAAAAUACACCUACUGCGUCCCCCCUUCCUGCCUGUUUGCUUCCUCCCCUCCUGGCUUUGCCUUUCAGUGCAGCUUCCCAAGAAAAUAAAGGUCAUACCCUCAUACUUUGCCUACACACACGCAAACACACACGGAAACACACAGACACACACACACACUCAUUCACACACAUACACAAACACAUAAACACACACACACACACACACACACACACACACACACACACACACAAAAGCAAACACAAACACUCACAUAAACACACUCACACACACAUUUGUGUUCUAAUAAACUUUGACCACAUUCCCAUCCCUGUGGACAGAGGGGCGGCAACCUGCAAACAUGCUGAGGUCAGUGGGGCCGGCAAAAAUGUGCAGCUGGGAGAGGGAGAGAGGUUUUCCCUUCCUUUAGCACAGAGUCAGGCUGCUCCACCGCUCAACAUUGGGUGGGGAGAAGCCACAGAUGGUGCACGCAGCACUCCCCACCUGCAGGAAGGGCUUUGAUCAGGUUUCACACCUGAGCUGUGCUGCUGUGGGAGCUCCCUGGGGACCCGGGCAUGACUGCCAGCCCCCUCCCCUGGGAUGGGCCCUGACAGACUCAUUCCACAGCCGUGGGGCUCUGAGUGCUGUGCCUAUGCCUAUGUGCCUGUGCUGUUCAGGCUGGCACCUGAACCCCUGUCAGCCACAGCCUGCACUCCACACACCCCAGAGAAGCCAAGUUCCACCAACGCAGAGGCAGCAAGGUGACUUCAAAUGUGCUCAUUCCACAGCUCCCCCACUCCAUUUUCCCUCCAAAAAAGGCACAACUGCCCAAAACUCCCUGCAGAAUCCACCCAUCAGUAUUUAGGCUGAGAACACAGGAAUUGUAGCGAUUUGUCUGACAUCAUUUUCCAGAGAGUUCCCCCCUGGCCUUGGUGUUAUCACUGCGUUUCUGUGCUCUCUCAGCAGUGGGGUGCCUGGGGUGAUGGGGACUCCAGGCUGUACUGGUGGAGCUGCCCAAGGCUGGGGACAAUGAGUGGGUAACUCACAGUGCCCCGUGGGAUGCUCUUCCUUCACUUUGUUCAGGCUAAAAUGUAAUUUAAUUAUUAAAAUACACCUUGGGAAGAGCUUCAGGUUGAGCAGGCCAAGGACAAAACCCUCCCAGAUUCUAUGGCAGUGCUGAGUCUGGGGACUGCUUGGUGAAGGUGUGACUCCUGGACACGGCUUGGGACAAGUGUCCCUGUCUGUCCCCAGGCAGUGCUCUGGGGGGAGCACACAGGCACUCAAUUAGAAUCAAGCUCACCUUCCUGGGAUGUGACUCCUCUGGGGCAGUGGCAUCUACUUCUGGGCAAGCAAGGGUUGCUGGGCACAGAGAGAUGGUCCCCAAACACUGCUCCACAGUGCAGGCAUGCUGCCCGCAGCAGCCACCCAGCACGAGCCAUCCUGCUCACGAGCACAAAGCAUGCAGGGGACCAGGACACCAGGUCACAGGAAUGUCCCCACGCUUACUCCACCCUUCUCUACUGUCACUCCAAGUGGGUUUUCUUGUUUUGCACCGGCAGCAGGGCCGGGCGGUGGCAGGGCUCUGGCUGGCCGGGCUGUGCCGGGCAGGGUGGGCACAGCCAGGGUGGGCACAGCUCUGCCCGCUCCCAGCUUUGGCCGCUGGCUGUUAACACCGGGGCUUUAUGCUCCUUAUCACCAGGACGUGGUUUAUUCCCAGGAAGGAAGCCAGGCAAGAGCACACUAUUAAAAUGCUCCAGUGGCCUUUGCAACGGGAAGCCCUCGGGCUUUGCCAAGCAGAUGCCUCAAAUUAAGGAAGGGGGAUGCAAGGAAUGGCCUUUAAGCGCCAGGAGGCUGCCCCAGUGCCCCACACUGCCUCCCUCCCCCCUCACCCUCCCUGGGGGGGUCCCUGGGCUGAGCAGAGGGGAGCGUGGUGGCCCCCCCGUUGCGUGGAGCAGGCAGGAAGGGCAGAUUGAGUUAUCUCCUGUGCCGGGGGCCGAGGGCGGGCGCUGCGCUGGCACCCGGCCCGGUGCAAUUACUGCAGCGGCAAUUACUGCAGCGGCACGGUGCGCAGCGAUGAUGCCACGCUGCAGGAAUGGCAGGGGUGGCUCGCCUCUGUUCCUGGGGCUCCCCAGGGCUGCCAGGCUGGGACUGGGCUCAUUCAGCCGUGCCCUGCAGCCGCUUCUCCCAGCCCACAUGAGGGGUCCCACACCUUCCCGGCUGUGCACCCCAGAAUGUGCUGCUCUGGAUGUUUCCCCUCCCGGAACUUCUGCCUUGCAAUAAGCGUGGGGACAUUCCUGUGACCUGGUGUCCUGGUUUCCUGCAUGCCUUGUGCUCGUGAGCAGGAUCGAGCUCUCAUUUCUACCACACGCUGCACAUUCCUGGUCUUCCCGGUCACAGAGGGAAGCCUGAAAAUGGACCUGAAGGUGAAAAGAAAACGAGUCCCAUGCCUAUCCCUCUCCCAGGGGAUUGUAGACAGCUAUGGUGGUGGGAUGUAGUGUGGCACUUUCCAGCCUCUCCUCAACCAGAAUUCACUUCUCUUUCCCCAACUACAAUAUUUGUUUCUCUCUGAAAAAUGUGCCUCCUGUCGUUGUCCUGCCCUGUGAUACCCAGGCAGCAGAACACAGUCCCCACCACGCUGUGACAGCUGUUUCUUCCCACUGCACUCACUCCUCCUGCCCCCCAUUUGCCCUGGGCUCCCAGUUGCCCUGGUGGAUCCUGAGAUUGCAAUUUUUGGUAAGCUUCCCUCCCUCACAUCCCAGGUGCUGGCUUGGACUCCCAAAGCUGGGAUGCUCACACAUCUCUGUCACCUGCUUUGUUUCUCUUCUCCAACCUUGGCUCUGGGUCAGGGUUUGCUGUUGCUCUGCUUCACAGAAGGACCCUAAAGCCCCAGCACUCAUCUAGCACUCAGGGAAUCCCCAAUCAUAUUUCUCCUAGCAGACCCCCAUUAGCUCUGCUGCCUGUGCCUGCUGACCAUCCCAUGGGAUUUCCACAUGGGGACAGCCACCUGCCACCCAGCUGCUUCUGCUGCAGCAUGCAGGGAGCUCCCACUGCCCUCAAGUGACCUUGUUUGGGGCCUGAUGGGUAUUAAUCCGUGCUCAACAGGCCACUGGGUGAACAGGCCAGCUGGUACUUGAGGGGUGGAGAGGCAUGAGGGCAGCAAAGAGGGAGCUGCUCCUGGACAGAUCCAAACCAGGGCCAGAGAUGCAGGGAGAGCUGAAGCCUGUAUUGCAGCACGGGAAAGCAGCUGGUGAGGGGGGAAGGUGAUCCUGGUCCCCAGGGCCACUGCCCGACCGGGUGCUGGAGGAUGUGGCUCUCCUGUCCCAGCUCCCAGGCGCUGCUGCAGGAGGCUGGCACGCAGCAUCCGCCCCAAUGCAUCCCAGUGGCACAGGGCACGGGCAGGCCAGCGAUGCCCCGGGUUCAUUGCGAUGCUGAGCUCCUUCGCAGGGAGGGGAUGGAGAAUGGAACUGAAUAUUUAAUGCUGACAAAGUGCCUUGAUGCUGGUGGCUGGAAGGCGCCAGGGAGGGAUGGGAGCCGUGAUCAGGGUACUGCUCACUGUGCACAGCUCACGCAGGGCAGGGUGGCACCGGCGUGUCCUCUGCCCUGGUGUUCUGUACCCUCAGCUGAUGAGGGCAGAUUUAUGGGUCUACAGCCCUGUUUUGCACCCAGCAAGAGCACCAUGGGGUAGAGUAGUGGGGCACAACAGGGGCUGGGGGCUGAGGAUGGCACCAGGCACUGGUCCCAGCCCAUUUGCAGGUGAGCUGUGCCCUGCAUUGCUGCUUGGAAUGGUUUCUCCUUGGAAGGAUAUGGGGGGGAGGGGGGCAAUACAA